UUAAAAUGAGAGUUUGAUCCUGGCUCAGGAUGAACGCUGGCGGCGUGCCUAAUACAUGCAAGUCGAACGCUUUGUCUUUAACUGAUAUGAAGAGCUUGCUCUGAUUUAAUUUUAUCUGACAAAGAGUGGCGAACGGGUGAGUAACACGUGGGUAACCUACCUCUUAGCAGGGGAUAACAUUUGGAAACAAGUGCUAAUACCGUAUAAUACCAACAACCGCAUGGUUGUUGGUUGA
rnacentral:rRNA from 1 species